rnacentral:rRNA from 1 species
UACGGGGGGGGCAAGCGUUGUUCGGAAUUACUGGGCGUAAAGGGCUCGUAGGCGGCCAACUAAGUCGGACGUGAAAUCCCCAGGCUCAACCUGGGAACUGCGUCCGAUACUGGAUGGCUUGAAUUCGGGAGAGGGAUGCAGAAUUCCAGGUGUAGCGGUGAAAUGCGUAGAUAUUUGGAGGAAUACCGGUGGCGAAGGCGGCAUCCUGGACCGACAUUGACGCUGAGGAGCGAAAGCUAGGGGAGCAAACGGG